GUGUUGUCUAAAUGGAGAGAAUGCUAGCACUGCCCUUGACAAGGAUAAAGUGGCCAUCAUUACAAAUUUUU
ensembl:snRNA U6atac minor spliceosomal RNA